GUGACUUUGCCGUGUCUCAAGGCGCGCGCAUCAGGUAGCCUUGACCAUAUAAACCAUCCGGAUUUGGGAAUAAUAAAACGCACAACCAGAACAUAGUGAAAACCGGUGAAGCAAGCAAGCCUGCUGCAGAAUGGCCAACACACUGAGACCCUGGUUGAUCCUUGUCGUCCUCGUCCUGGGCGUGCUGGUUUGUCUGGGCACUUUCACGGAUGCCUACUUUACCAAGCCGGUGAGCCCCGAUGACAACGCGCCUCCGGAGGAAUGGGCCAGAUACAACACAGCGCUGCGACACUACAUCAACCUCAUCAAUAGACAGAGGUAUGGAAAGAGAUCUGCACCUGAGUCAGCUCUGGGGUGGUUGCUGUUCAGAGAUGAGUCGGAAGGCGAUUUAACACAACGGUGAGAGGAUGAAGAGACUGAGGGAAAGGGUGAUUCAACGUGACUGUCUGCUCUUUGUUCGGGUGGCAGUGAUCUCGGAUAAAUCUGGGUCCCGUCCCACUGGCAUGCUGUUCCACUCAAAUGGCGGACCUUACAACAACUCAAAUAGGCUGCUCAACUGGCAACCUUCACUGGACUGUGUGGCCCACUAUUUAUGUUCAACAUCUCUGUCUCUCUUUCUCACUCUCUCAUUCCAACACAUAAUUGUCUAUUUUUGGUUGUUGACAUAAUUUGUAAUUAAAUUCAACAAUGAAUAAUAAAUACAUGUG